UUAUCGGUAUAAGUAAACAACCUUUUAUAGCUAUUUUACCUAUUUAAGUCUCCGAAAUGGGGCUGCAGCAGAUGAGCCAAACAAGAAGUUAUUUACCCUUUAGGAACAGUAGAUCGCUACUUGUGCCGAACAACUGUUCAUGAGGGCUAGGUCCAAUGAUCGACGGCGAAGAAGAAGGUUUGGGAUAUGGGUUCAAACAGGGCUAGGUUCGACAAUCAACGACGACAACAAUCGAUCAAUGGCGAGGUCUGACGACCUCAAUCUCUCCCGGUCGGUGACCUCAAUCUUGACUGGCUCGGCCCGGCAACCUCCAUUGCGACCGCGGCGGCAGAAACGGGCUGAACAAAGUAUAUCAAAAGGUGUGUAUAGGAGUAUAUGUAUAUAUCUACAGCUAUUACCGAUGUGUACAUAUAUGUGUGUAUUCUGAUUCUCUAGCUUCAAACCCUAAAAUGGAAUGGGGAAGAAGAAGAAAAGAAAAUUAAAAAAUGAGAAAAAAAAAAAA